rnacentral:rRNA from 1 species
AACGAACGCUGGCGGCAUGCUUAACACAUGCAAGUCGAACGCGCCCUUGGGCUUCGGUCUGGGGGUGAGUGGCGCACGGGUGAGUAGCGCGUGGGAACCUGCCCUGUUGUGGGGGAUAAC